CCAGGUGCGCCGUGGCCCCAUCCCCUGAGGACCAGAAGAGGACGAGGUAGCUGAGUGAAUCAGGGCGGGACAGGUGGGUGAGCCCAGCACCACAGGUUCCAGUAUCCGCUCACGCCAAGGGGCUUUGGCUUUGCCCUCCCCCAGACUCCUCCACCACCAACACCUGUGAGGCCUGGUGUCACUGGAAUCUCCAACUUCUUCUGACCUGGCUCCACCCCGACAGGCUGUUCUUUCCCCGAAGGCCUAAGUCAGACAUUCCCGCUGCCCCUGCCCCUUCCUCCUUGCGCCACAUCUGGCCCUCAGAAAGCCUCCCUGACUUCGGCUCACAAAUCUACUGGGAUCCAUCUACCCGGCAGCAGCACCCCACCCCUCCCUCGGUCCCAACUCAGACCCUCCUCACAGGCAGCUGCCCGGGCAUCCCUGCGGUGCCCCCACCUGCCCUCAAGAUUCCAGCAUCUUCAUCGCACCCUGCUCCCUCCUCCAUGUGCUGCAGUCUCCCUGGCCCAGCGUCUCUGUUCCUCCAACGCCGGACGCCUAGACCCAGGGCCUUUGUGCGUCUCCCUGCCUCUCAGCCUCCACUUCACUGACGCCCGGAUCGUAGAACUUAAGCACGUUCACGCGGUCUCUUUCCACAGAUCCCAGCAGCGUGUAAGCUCCCUGGGGGCACCUGCCUUCCCGACACAGCACAGAGCACCUAGGAGUGUGUGAGAAACCCACGCUGAGGGGGGGUCUCCAAGCACCACUUCCUGGCCCGGCCAGUACGCUGGACUCUGGGAACUGGGCAGCCUCUGGAACCGUCCCGAUGCCAUCCUGCCAGGGAGCUCCCUCCCCAAGGGCAGGCCUGGGCAUUCAGCAGGCGCCACCUGUACCCCUGGCCGGGGGAAGGAGGGGAUCCAGCCUUGCCGAGCCGGGCAGACACUGUGUGAGCUCAUCUGAGCACGAGCGGACGCAGGGCAGGCCACUAUCCCAGCAUUCUGACGGACCUCUCACUAGGAACCCUCUGCGCAAAAAAGGUCAUUUCUGGGGAGGUUGGGUUCUAAGAGAGGUGAGAGGCCCUAAUGGGUAUCAAAGACUGUAAGUGCAAUUUUAGGCCCGUGAUAAUUGUCUCAGCAUGAAAAGCAUGCCCCAGAGCACCCAGCCAGCAUUUUUAACAUGAGGGCUGCUGGACUUAAAACCAAGACCCAGACCCCUAUCACCGCAGGGCUGCCCUGGGGACAGAGCCGCCUGGCCCAGCGGGCUUUUUAGGCCAUGCUCCCUGGUGGAGGGGCAGAACCUCCCAGGGGCACAGGAGGGCCAAGGAGUAGGGGGGAACGACAGAAAGACUUGGGGUCUUUGGGGGGGAUAGGGGUGUCCACUGAGGCUCAUGGGAAGAACUGAUGCCCCCACCCCACUCCACGCUAACGAACUCCACUAAGCCCUUUUUUCUUAGUAGGGGCCCCUGUGAGGAGCGGGGAUAAGGGAACCCACCGGGCAG